rnacentral:rRNA from 1 species
AUUGAACGCUGGCGGCAGGCCUAACACAUGCAAGUCGAGCGGGGUUUUCGGACCUAGCGGCGGACGGGUGAGUAAUGCGUAGGAAGCUACCCGAUAGAGGGGGAUACCAGUUGGAAACGACUGUUAAUACCGCAUAAUGUCUACGGACCAAAGUGUGGGACCUUCGGGCCACACGCUAUCGGAUGCGCCUACGUGGGAUUAGCUAGUUGGUGAGGUAAUGGCUCACCAAGGCGACGAUCCCUAGCUGGUUUGAGAGGAUGAUCAGCCACACUGGAACUGAGACACGGUCCAGACUCCUACGGGAGGCAGCAGUGGGGAAUAUUGGACAAUGGGCGCAAGCCUGAUCCAGCCAUGCCGCGUGUGUGAAGAAGGCCUUCGGGUUGUAAAGCACUUUCAGCGAGGAGGAAGGGUUGUGUGUUAAUAGUACACAGCCUUGACGUUACUCGCAGAAGAAGCACCGGCUAACUCUGUGCCAGCAGCCGCAGUAAUAC